GACGAACGCUGGCGGCGUGCUUAACACAUGCAAGUCGAACGGAAAGGCCCUGCUUUUGUGGGGUGCUCGAGUGGCGAACGGGUGAGUAACACGUGAGUAACCUGCCCUUGACUUUGGGAUAACUUCAGGAAACUGGGGCUAAUACCGGAUAGGAGCUCCUGCUGCAUGGUGGGGGUUGGAAAGUUUCGGCGGUUGGGGAUGGACUCGCGGCUUAUCAGCUUGUUGGUGGGGUAGUGGCUUACCAAGGCUUUGACGGGUAGCCGGCCUGAGAGGGUGACCGGCCACAUUGGGACAGAGAUACGGCCCAGACUCCUAUGGGAGGCAGAAGUGGGGAAUAUUGCACAAUGGGCGGAAGCCUGAUGCAGCAACGCCGCGUGCGGGAUGAGGGCCUUCGGGUUGUAAACCGCUUUCGCCUGUGACGAAGCGUGAGUGACGGUAAUGGGUAAAGAAGCACCGGCUAACUACGUG
rnacentral:rRNA from 1 species